UGAAAUGCGAUAAGUAAUGUGAAUUGCAGAAUCUCGUGAAUCAUCGAAUCUUUGAACGCACAUUGCGCCCUAUGGUAUUCCGUAGGGCAUGCCUGUCUGAGUGUCAGCUCCCCCCAAUCUCAAAGACUUCUUUAUCGAGCUUUGGAUGGCAUUGGAGAAGCAACAGGAAUGUUGUCCUCCAGAAAUUCAUUGGCAGUAUGAUUUUACCUGAGCCAAACGUAAUAAUAAUAACCAAACAAUUCGUUGAUUUCAGGUGUAUUUAAACUUGCCUUCAACCCACAUUUCACUUCUUUGGGUGACCUCAGAUCAGGUAGGGAUACCCGCUGAACUUAA
rnacentral:misc_RNA from 1 species